GUGCUUCCUUUGGUAGCACAUAUACCAAAAUUAGAAGGAUAUAGAAAAAAUUAGUAUGACCCCUAAACAAGGAUGGCAUGAAAAUUUGUGAAUUGUUUCAUAUUUGU